CCUACGGGUGGCAGCAGUGAGGAAUAUUGGUCAAUGGACGAGAGUCUGAACCAGCCAAGUAGCGUGAAGGAUGAAUGCCCUAUGGGUUGUAAACUUCUUUUAUAUAGGAAUAAAAUGUUCCACGUGUGGGUUUUUGUAUGUCCGUUAUGAAUAAGGAUCGGCUAACUCCGUGCCAGCAGCCGCGGUAAUACAGAGGAUCCGAGCGUUAUCCGUAUUUAUUGGGUUUAAAGGGAGCGUAGGUGGGUUGUUAAGUCAGUUGUGAAAGGUUGCGGCUCAACCGUAAAAUUGCAAUUGAUACUGGCAGUCUUGAGUACAGUAGAGGUGGGCGGAAUUCGUGGUGGAGCGGUGAAAUGCUUAGAUAUCACGAAGAACUCCGAUUGCGAAGGCAGCUCACUGGACUGCAACUGACACUGAGGCUCGAAAGUGUGGGUAUCAAACAGGAUUAGAUACCCUAGUAGUC
rnacentral:rRNA from 1 species